UACGUAGGGGGCGAGCGUUGUCCGAAUUUACUGGGCGUAAAGGGCGCGUAGGCGGCCCGGUAAGUCCUCUGUGAAAUCUCUCGGCUUAACUGGGAGGGGUCAGAGGAAACUACUGGGCUUGAGGGCAGCAGAGGAAAGCGGAAUUCCCGGUGUAGUGGUGAAAUGCGUAGAUAUCGGGAGGAACACCAGUGGCGAAGGCGGCUUUCUGGGCUGUUUCUGACGCUGAGGCGCGAAAGCGUGGGGAGCGAACCGG
rnacentral:rRNA from 1 species